rnacentral:rRNA from 1 species
AACUGAAACAUCUAAGUACCCCGAGGAAAAGAAAUCAACCGAGAUUCCGAAAGUAGCGGCGAGCGAAAUUGGACUAGCCCUUAAGCUUUACACGCGUUAGACGAACGGUCUGGAAAGUCCGACGAUACAGGGUGAUAGUCCCGUAGUUGACGACGUGUGUUCAGUGAAAUCGAGUAGGGCGGGACACGUGAUAUCCUGUCUGAAUAUGGGGGGACCAUCCUCCAAGGCUAAAUACUACUGACUGACCGAUAGUGAACCAGUACCGUGAGGGAAAGGCGAAAAGAACCCCUGUGAGGGGAGUGAAAUAGAACCUGAAACCGUG